GUGCAAUGCUACAUUGUGUACAACCAGAGAAAUGACAAGUUGUACUACAAUUGUGUCCAAUGAAUCAAAAUUCUCCUGGCAUAUAUACCUAAGUAAAAUUAAUUAAUUAAUUAAUUAAUUAAUUAAUUUUUUAAAAGGAAGAAAGAAAGCAGAAUCUGUUCAGCGGACCCAAAAUUGGCCAUAAUGCUGUCCCCAACAGGGCAGCUGCAGGUGCAGACUACUGAUUUCCAGGUCACAGUCACCAGAUUUGGAUUUUUAUAUUAUUUCUAUUAUUUUAUUUUCUUCUUCUGUAGUCACCUUCCUUUUCUCAUUUUUCAGGUUUUCAAAUAUCUCUGUAACCAAUUUGCUUUCAAUUCACUCUGUUCAAAACUCUAUUUCUGGCUAGAUCUUUCUAAUAUAUGUGUGUUUUAAUUCAUGGGCAUAGAAGAGAAGGGGUAGUUGAAGCAGCUGAGAUGGAGUGAUAUACUCACCUGCCUCCAGAAGAAAGAGCUUUGCAGCUGAUAUAUAUCAUUUGCACUAAUUGCACUUAUGCAAGGUUACAUUUGAAGUGGAAAAGGAAGUGUUGACUUAGUGAUCCUGUUUACUACACUAUUGACCUUCUCUUGAUCUAUCAUCAGUAAAUAAUAUUAAUUUGACUUCUAUAACAGAAUGGACUUUUCCCCUGUAUCUUUGUAAAACAGUGUUUUCACUUGUAUCUUAUAAUGUGCUCAUUGACUUUAAUCUCUUUCUUCUUUUCCCUCAAAGCCUCACAGAUUAAUAGGCACUUUAUCUCUGAAGCCAUUUUUGACCCACCUUUUCUUGUCUCACUCUGCUUUCUGCCUGUGCCAGGAGCUUUACAGGUCAAUUUUGCUUUUUUUAUUUUUUUAGAACAUUCCUUAUUGCGGCUCAAUUUAAUCCCUUCUCAGGUAAAUUCCAUGAUGACAAGAAAACUCCUUCAGUUUCUUGAAAUCUUACUGUGAUAUGCACCAUUGCUUCUGUAGAAUAUGGCUCCUGUUAAGUUUCAGGAAUAAUUGCUGAUCUUCAGUAAUAGAGGAAACAAUAACCAUACAAGAUGGGUUUCUAAGUCUUAAGAAUUGACAACUGCUUGCAAGGACAUGGCAUAUAGAAAGGAAAUAACAUGAGGUGGGGAGCAUAUGCCUCCAAUCAUGGUCCUUCACUAGCCCCAGACACUUUCAUCAUGAGUAAUCCCUGCUGGUUUUCUCUUUCAGAGAGACACAUAGAAGUAAGAUGCCAGAUCUCAUGCAGAGGGACAUCUCUUCAGGGUUUUAUUUAUUCUUUUAAAUGCAUUGUGUUCCCAGGAAGAGCUUGUACAAAUGUGCCAGAAGCAUUGUGUCACCAUUGACAUUUGGAUGACAGUCUUCAAAGUGGUGAGCUUUACUUUCAUGUACAAAGGGAUAAUUACAAGUUUUUCUCCAGCAUUAUUUGUUUUCCAAAGUUCAUAUAUGCUGUCAAAAUAUCAUUUUGGUCUGACUAUUAUCUACAGAAUCUUAUAUUUAAAGAAGUAUUUGUAUGUAUAUAUAUAUAUAUAUAUAUAUAUAUAUAUAUAUAUAUAUAUUUUUUUUUUUUUUUAAAGAAGUGUGUGCAUUUAUACACAUACAUUUUUUAGGGGGUGAGAAGUACUGAGGAUUAAACUGAGAGGUACUGUACCAUUGUCCUAUAUCCCCAGUCCUAUCUCUCUAUCUAUCUAUCUAUCUAUCUAUCUAUCUAUUUUGAGACAGAGUCUCACUAAGUUCCUUAGAGCCUUACUGAGUUGCUAAGACUGGCCUUGAACUUGAGAUCCUCCUGCCUCGGCCACUAGUGUUGCUGGGAUUACAGGCAGGUGACGCGGUGCCCAGCUAAAGGAGCAUAUUUUUCCCCUAAAAUACAAAGCAAUGAUGGGGGAGCUUUCUAACCACAAAGCAGAGCUGUGCAGACUGUCUUUCUCUUACAAUCUUUACACCCAACAUUUGCCAGAAGUUGUUCUAAAAAGCCAAACUCCCACUAGAUGUAGUAAAAGUAUAAAUAUAGACUGAUUUUAUUUGGAAAUUGACUCAGGAUUUUUACAUAAUUGUAGCUAGAUGAAAUUGAAGCUUUUGAGAUUUGAAAUUCCAAUCAAACAAUCUGAUCUGAAAUAAACAUACAUCCUGCAAUGAGUGAAUAAAUUACACAUUUGCAAAAUAAUAAAUGGCAGUUAUUGAAUUCGGCUAAGCAAUAUCAACCAAUAAAUUUAGAACACUUUGGGAAGUAGGAAAAUUACACUUGAUUACCUAUCAGCAAAUCCCAGCAAAAAAAUUUUUAAAGGUUAUGGAAAUUGCAUGAAAUAUUAGGUUAUUGGCAGUGGCAGCGUAUUUCUUACUUGAGUACUUGGUUAUUCCAACUUCUUGUUCUUAGCAAACGAAAUUCCAGCUCCAAGUUGUAAUGAACUAAAUUCUACCUCCACAAAAAAUUCUAUCACAAAUUUGUUACUUUUAAUGUUGUCUUCUACAGAAAUGAGACUUUUUAGAAGGCUUUGACACAUGGUCUGUUAAAAAUUUACAUGACAUUUGGAUUUUUGCUGCAAUGGAUUAAAACAAAAGACAAUUUUUUUCCAAUUUUUCAUGCAGAAUUUUUACUGAAAUUGUGUUUCCUUUGACGUGAGAAAAAAAAUAGUGAUGUACUCUUUAAGUUAGAGAGUUCUUCCUUUAUGCAAAUUCUGCUCAAGGAUACAAUUGAUUUAUUUACAAUAUAUUUACUUUUCAUUCUCUUGGUCGAAGUCAUACUUCUAGAAUGUAUAGUUUUGAAGAAAACUAAUAGCAGUUGUAGCUCCGAUAGAACUAAAGUAAUGCAAAUGAUGAUGAUGCAAGGCAUAUGGUCACAAGUAUUCACUCAGUGUACUCAUUACAUGCAAAUCUCUAUUUCAGAUGUCAUUGAUACAGAGAUGAAUCAGAUUCAAUGCUUUUGAAAUUCACAGAGUAUUAAGAAAGUCAGAUGGGUAUGUAAAUAAUACUAAUACAGAAAGAACAUGAUAUCAUCACUGUACGUGCAAAAAGUUAAGACCAUGGAAAAUUCAGGUAAUAGAAAACUUCUGCCUGAGGAAUGAAGGAAACUGACUACAGCGGGUGAAUUCUGUUCCUGAAAAGAUGAAAUCUUAAACCCAGUAUCUGUGAAGUUGGCCUUAUUUGGAAAUAUUUUCUUUUUAAAUCAACUAAGUUAAGGACCUUGAGAUGAGAUCAUUUUGGAUUUAGGGAGGUUCCUAAUCCAAUGACUGCUAUAAUCAUAAUAGAGUUGAGACAUAGAACCAUGGGCCAGAGGCUAUAUCAGGACAGAUACAGAAACUGGAAUUAUGCUGCCCCAAGUCAAGGACCCUGGAGCCACCGAAAGCUACAAGAAGCAAGCAAACAUUCUUUUUUAGAGCCUUCAGAGAUAAUGUAUACCUUUCAACACCUUGAUUUCAAAGACUUCUGGCUUCCAAAAUGGUGACAGAAUAAAUUUCUGUUAUUUCAAACCACUAGGUCUGUGCUAAUGUUGUUCUUGCAGACCUAGGAAAUAAAGAUAAUCAUUACAGAAAUAACAUUUGGGUUGGAACAUGAAGGAUGGGCUGUGUUUGUACAUCCCAGGCCUAUUGUGUAGCAGGACAAUGAUAAAGACUCGGAGAAAGCUUUCAGGGAAGAGGAUGUAAGCGUUUCAGUAUCCUGGAAUGUUAAAUAAUGACAUGGGGAAGUAGAAGAGAAUAGAGCUUGGUGGAGGAGAGAGAGAGGAAGUUGUAAACAGGAAUAAAAAGGUUGAGAAGCCUCAGGGAAGCCAUUG
rnacentral:lncRNA from 1 species